ACGCGUGGGUAACCUGCCUCAUACACAUGGAUAACAUACCGAAAGGUAUGCUAAUACAAGAUGAUAUAAGAGAUUCGCAUGGAUUUCUUAUCAAAGCUCCGGCGGUAUGAGAUGGACCCGCGUCUGAUUAGCUAGCUGGUAAGGUAAUGGCUUACCAAGGCAACGAUCAGUAGCCGACCUGAGAGGGUGAUCGGCCACAUUGGAACUGAGACACGGUCCAAACUCCUACGGGAGGCAGCAUG
rnacentral:rRNA from 1 species